ACCGGACGGCGAUGAGAAAAUCUUCCAGAGUGUUCUCCACAUUCUCCAUCAACCAUCACAUCAGCAAUAUUCCAGAAGGAUAGAAUCCAUGUAUCCGUGCGUCAUAGGGGAACUUUUCCCGAGGCUUUCCCAAGGUUUGCUUCAGCUUCGAGAAAACAUCCCCGUUGCGACGGAAUGUAUACGGCACCGCUCCUUUCUCCCUUUCUUUACUAUCCGCUCAUUUGCAUCAGCGCGCCCAAAUAAAGAUCGUAUAUAUAUAUUAUUUUAUUCAUUCAUUCAUAUGUCUCCUACACUUUUGCUAUGGG
rnacentral:sRNA from 1 species